rnacentral:rRNA from 1 species
AGCGAACGCUGGCGGCAGGCCUAACACAUGCAAGUCGGACGGGCCCUUUCGGGGGUCAGUGGCAGACGGGUGAGUAACGCGUGGGAACGUGCCCUUUGGUUCGGAAUAACCCAGGGAAACUUGGGCUAAUACCGGAUACGCCCUUUUUGGGGAAAGAUUUAUCGCCGAAGGAUCGGCCCGCGUCUGAUUAGCUGGUUGGUGAGGUAACGGCUCACCAAGGCGACGAUCAGUAGCUGGUCUGAGAGGAUGAUCAGCCACACUGGGACUGAGACACGGC